rnacentral:rRNA from 1 species
UACGUAGGGGGCAAGCGUUGUCCGGAAUCAUUGGGCGUAAAGCGCACGUAGGCGGCCCGAUAAGUCCGCUGUGAAAGUCCAGGGCUCAACCCUGGAAAGCCGGUGGAUACUGUCGGGCUAGAGUCCGGAAGAGGCGAGUGGAAUUCCUGGUGUAGCGGUGGAAUGCGCAGAUAUCAGGAGGAACACCGAAGGCGAAGGCAGCUCGCUGGGACGGUACUGACGCUGAGGUGCGAAAGCGUGGGGAGCGAACAGG